rnacentral:rRNA from 1 species
GGUUGUCGUCAGCUCGUGUCGUGAGAUGUUGGGUUAAGUCCCGCAACGAGCGCAACCCUCGACCUUAGUUGCCAGCAUUCAGUUGGGCACUCUAAGGUGACUGCCGGCUAAAAGUCGGAGGAAGGUGGGGAUGACGUCAAAUCAUCAUGCCCCUUAUGACCUGGGCUACACACGUGCUACAAUGGGCGGUACAAAGGGUCGCGAACCCGCGAGGGGGAGCCAAUCCCAAAAAGCCGCUCUCAGUUCGGAUUGCAGGCUGCAACUCGCCUGCAUGAAGCCGGAAUCGCUAGUAAUCGCGGAUCAGCAUGCCGCGGUGAAUACGUUCCCGGGCCUU